AAUGGGCGAAAGCCUGACGCAGCGACGCCGCGUGAGGGAAGAAGGCCUUCGGGUCGUAAACCUCUGUCAGGAGGGAAGAACCCCGUAGAGUCGAGCAGGCUUUACGGCUGACGGUACCUCCAAAGGAAGCACCGGCUAACUCCGUGCCAGCAGCCGCGGUAAUACGGAGGGUGCAAGCGUUAAUCGGAAUCACUGGGCGUAAAGCGUGCGUAGGCUGUCUAGCAAGCCAGACGUGAAAGCCCUCGGCUCAACCGGGGAACUGCGUUUGGAACUGCUUGACUUGAGUCCGAGAGAGGGCGGCGGAAUUCCGGGUGUAGGAGUGAAAUCCGUAGAUAUCCGGAGGAACACCGGUGGCGAAGGCGGCCGCCUGGAUCGGUACUGACGCUGAGGUACGAAAGCGUGGGGAGCAAA
rnacentral:rRNA from 1 species